CUGUGCUGCAUACAGUUACACACUACGUCGUACGAUUGAGACAAGGAAACUUGGAAUGACUUUUCAUAGGUUUCCCAGAGACUAUGGGUUGAGGAGGAAUUGGAAGUUUGUCGGCUUAGACCUGGUGUCAUUCCAUCAGUGUUAAACUUCCUGGCUCAUCUUGGAAGAGUACGUGCCAGAAAGACCACAACCAAGCAGCCUUGAGAUCUUAGGCAGCGUCUCCCUGAGGUCCCUCUCUAUCUCCCCACACAUCCACCAACCACUGGAACACAUCUCCAAAGUUCUGCUGGGCCAGCUCAGCUUCCCCUCAGAAGAAGUUCACCAGAUGAAGGAGCCUUUUGAGAGGCAGCUGGCAUCGUGAUUGGACUGUACUUUGGUCUGUUCCAAUCCAGCUUCAGCUCCAGAGACGGCAGGCGGGACGAGUCAACGGAGGCCGGGUGGACGAAGGCAUGCAGCUGAGUACAAUCCAGAAAACAACAGAGGAGGAGUGCAGCAGCCCAGGGCCAGAACAGAGUAACAUAACCAAAGAACUACAGACUCUUCACAACCUGCUCAAACUCUUGGUACAGGACCUCACCACACGGGUCAAGAAGG
ensembl:lncRNA